rnacentral:rRNA from 1 species
AAACCAGCACCUCAAGUGGUCAGGAUGAUUAUUGGGCCUAAAGCAUCCGUAGCCUGCUCUGUAAGUUUUCGGUUAAAUCUGUACGCUUAACGUACAGGCUGUCGGGAAUACUGCAGAGCUAGGGAGUGGGAGAGGUAGACGGUACUCGGGAGGAAGUGGUAAAAUGCUUUGAUCUCUCGAUGACCACCUGUGGCGAAGGCGGUCUACCAGAACACGUCCGACGGUGAGGGAUGAAAGCUGGGGGAGCAAACCGGAUUAGAAACCCGAGUAGUCC